CAGGGAGACAACACAAUGAUUUUGAUGCGUGAGUACUUUUAUUCUUAGGCCGAAAUCCUGUCACGUUAGGUCGAUCGGUACAUCAGCUUUGAAGUCAAGGAUCAGCAGCAAUGUUGAUUGCUUGAUGGAGAUUUUCAGUUCCUAAACUUUGUCUAGGUCACACCCCAAAAGGGAUGAGACUCCUGGGCCAUUAGCUCAGGUGGUUAGAGCGCACCCCUGAUAAGGGUGAGGUCCCUGGUUCAAGUCCAGGAUGGCCCAUUCGGUGUUGGGGGUUUAGCUCAGUUGGUAGAGCGCCUGCUUUGCAAGCAGGAUGUCAGGAGUUCGAGUCUCCUAACCUCCACUGACCGAACUUGAUUCCCAUCUCCAAUUUUUUGGAGUUGAGCUCGAUUGGAGUGUGAUUUAGAUGUGUCCGCUGGAUGACCCCAGCUUCCUGUCAUUCCAAGUUUUAGAUUUUAAGUCUUGAAUUUGGUUGAUAAGAUGCUGGGCUCGGAUCAAAUGAUCAAGCAAUUGAUGAUUUGAUUUGAAGUUCUAGCAGAACCUUGACAACUGCAUAGGUGAGUCUGGAAAAAACAAAGCAUCUUACAGAUGCAUUGUUUUGAAUCUGAUCUUCUGAAAGGGAGAUUGGAUCUAGAACAAUGAAAAUUCUUUUGAGCAAGAGCCGAGACUCUUGAGCGUUCUUUGAUUGGUGUCGAGCCAAUCAGAGUUUGAUCUUGUUUUUAGCAAUAAAAACUUGAGAAUCUGCUUUCAACGGCGGUAAGCGUUCAGGAGGUUAAUU
rnacentral:tRNA from 1 species